UUUUUUUUUUUUUUUUUUCACAUGCAUCAGUGAAACCUCUCUAUGAUAUUAACGUGUUAAUGUGGAAAUAUGGUUUAUUAAGUGAGCUAUAGAAACCGGGGCAAUAUAUGCUCAUAAAUGGCAGUUGACUAAAAUAAGUGUGCUGAUAACCAAUAAUAAAUGAAAUUUUGUCUAUCUUACUAACUGCUCAUGUGAACAGCACCUAUAGUGUUGAAUGCACACACGGCAUUUAAGACAGCAGGUCCCACUGGAUCAUAAGUGCAGAAAAGAAAGAUGUUUUCCUUGGAUGUAUUUUGGCAUUGCUCAGAUAUGUCACAUCACUGCUUUUUCACAUGGUUUGGGUCCAUGGGUAGUUGUUGAUGAGAAAGAUGGUUGUCAGGACUAAUUUCUGAUGAAAUCCCAGGGACCUCUCACUUUUCCUGCUUUGCAAUUAGUAACUUGUAAUUUUUCUCAUGCUGGGACCACCAGGUAUGCCUGUGGACCAAAGACAACAGUGCAGUGUGGUUGGGCUUGUAUUCAAGCAUCACUUUGUACAUGAGCAAUAAACAAGCCUUGUGAUUGAUCCACUGCUUCAAACUGCUUAGUCACAUAAUCAAUCUCAGACCAGUUUGUUACAAUAUAUUAUUUCAGAGCAACAGAAAAUGUCCCUUAUGUAACUACUGGCAUAGUCAAAGCCUGUGACAAUUGCAGAUUGUCUGCUGGUGCAGGAGAGGAGUGUCCAAGGACUUGUGAAUUUGGUGGAUGAUCUCAGGCACCAAAUCUCAGGAUGAUUGUAAGGCAGGGCUGUAAGGAUGGACUUUCUGAAGCCGGCUGUGCAGAGAGCUGAGGGGAUCACACUCUCUACUCCUCCUGCCCUUGCUUUUGGCAACUUGGAUCCCCCACAGAGAAACGAAGCCCUCCCUGGUUUGUCUCCUGCCGAGGCCAAGUCAGACAAGCGCCGUGCGGGCCCGGGAGCCUCCCUGGGUGCUGAAGGGACAGCUCCGGGGGGCGAGCCGCGCUCCAGCCGCUCCGAGGGGGAUCCGCGGGACACGCUCGGCUCC
rnacentral:lncRNA from 1 species